UACAGAGGGGGCAAGCGUUGUUCGGAAUUACUGGGCGUAAAGGGCGCGUAGGCGGCCUUCUAAGUCAGACGUGAAAUCCCCGGGCUCAACCCGGGAACUGCGUCUGAUACUGGAAGGCUUGAAUCCGGGAGAGGGAUGUGGAAUUCCAGGUGUAGCGGUGAAAUGCGUAGAUAUCUGGAGGAACACCGGUGGCGAAGGCGGCAUCCUGGACCGGUAUUGACGCUGAGGCGCGAAAGCUAGGGGAGCAAACAGG
rnacentral:rRNA from 1 species